rnacentral:rRNA from 1 species
GACGAACGCUGGCGGCGUGCCUAAUACAUGCAAGUCGAGCGCAGGAAACUGACGGAACUCUUCGGAGGGAAGGCAGUGGAAUGAGCGGCGGACGGGUGAGUAACACGUAAGGAACCUGCCCAAAGGAUUGGGAUAACUCCGAGAAAUCGGAGCUAAGACCGGAUAGUUCACCGGACCGCAGGGUCCGCUGAUGAAAGGCGCUCCGGCGUCACCUUGAGAUGGCCUUGCGGUGCAUUAGCUAGUUGGUGGGGGAACGGCCCACCAAGGCGACGAUGCAUAGCCGACCUGAGAGGGUGAUCGGCCACACUGGGACUGAGACACGGCCCAGACUCCUACGGGAGGCAGCAGUAGGGAAUCUUCCACAAUGGACGAAAGUCUGAUGGAGCAACGCCGCGUGAGUGAUGAAGGUUUUCGGAUCGUAAAACUCUGUUGUAAGGGAAGAACACGUACGAGAGGAAAUGCUCGUACCUUGACGGUACCUUACGAGAAAGCCACGGCUAACUACGUGCCAGCAGCCGCGGUAAAAC